AAGAAAGGGGGGGCACCAAGAAGGCAGAGUCAGGCCAGUGUUGUUUCCAGGGAGACGGGGGCGGAUGACCGUUGCGAUGAGUAAAUGAGAAGUUCGUGAAGGGAACUUUUUUGCAUAGAGAAAACCCACACUCCGGUUCUGGGAAAAGGGUCACGAUUCCUUCCCUUGUGUCCCUGUAUUUCCGCUUUCUGCUCAUUGCCACAGUGAAACUCAACUGGAACUGCACAGCCAGACGUGAGAGGAGUCUCUGCUGAUCUGAGUCUGCCCUGCAGCCUGAAUUUGCAUCUUCCCUGAAGCUUCCCCAGGACUGGUGAGAAGACUGGCCGAGGUAGGUUCCCCACAAGGGUGUGUUUACGGGUGAGCCGAAGGAGAGAGCGGGACCCCACGGAGAGGCUCUGAGAGGAAGGAAGAACCGUCUGUUGCCUUCACCUCGAAGGGACCAACUCAGGAAGGCACCACGUCCAUUUGCAGCUACAUCCUGGCCCUCAGUGAGAUGAGGACCGGUCGGGCAGACAGCGAAAGGAGAUCAGGAGAGAUGCCAUGUGUGUCUGAAAUAUCGGCAGAAAGCCAGGUGCCUGUCUCAAAGGAUGGUUCAAGAUACGUGACUCACGACCUAAACGAAGAACGAAAACCAUAUGAUCAUCUCAAUAGAGGCAGAUAAAGCCUUCAAAAAACUCCAAGCCCUGGGAAAACAAGAGCCGGGCUCGUGGCGGGGUCCGGGACAGUUCACCACCCGUGGAGAUGCUGGUGGGAAAAUGCAGUUAAAGCUUUGGAUAGAACACCCAGUGUCUCCUUGUCCACCUGAAGAACAUGCUGCUAUGUGGAAGCACAUCCUUGAGAUCCACAAGGAGACACUGGGCAAGGAGACAAGGAUGCCUCAUUCUAUGGAAGUCUCCCUAAUAAAUGCUCUGUGAACA